UAUCAGUAAGCGGAGGAAAAGAAACUAACAAGGAUUCCCCUAGUAACGGCGAGUGAAGAGGGAAAAGCCCAGCACUGAAUCCAACAGUUUACGCUGUUUGGAAAUGUAGUGUUUAGGUAUCAUUUUGCACUAUUCGACUUGUCCCAAGUCCGCUUGAUUGCGGCUCUUUGUGCCCAGAGAGGGUGUUAGGCCCGUAGGGGCAGGUUGGGUGGUGCCUGAUGUUACCUUAGAGUCGGGUUGUUUGUGAAUGCAGCCCAAAGCGGGUGGUAAACUCCAUCCAAGGCUAAAUACUUACACGAGACCGAUAGUCAACAAGUACCGCGAGGGAAAGUUGAAAAGAACUUUGAAGAGAGAGUUCAAUAGUACGUGAAACCGCUCAGAGGUAAACGGGUGGCGCUGAAGUGAUCCCGGGAAUUCAGCCGGUUAAGACGUUAGUGAUUUUUGCGGGAAAUGGCUCCUUGUCUUUCCAGCUUAUUUUGUCCGGCGUUUUGACUGGUGCACUUUCCCUGGGGUCUAUACCACGACCGGUCAAUCGAGAUGCCUUCUGCGUUCGGGUUGGUAGCGUAGUCUCCUAGAUUGCGUGAAAGCCUGUUUGCGUUGUGUGUCCGGAGGACCGAGGACUCGACAUAAGCCGUCCCGGCGCGCAUAUAUUCAGCGAGGUUGGCAUCGUUGGUUGGACUGCCUGGCAGACUAGCCGGUUUUGUCUCCUUUGCCUGGGUAUCGCUGCGCAAUGUGUCAAUAGUCUGUGGUGUUAAGUAGGUUACCGACCCGA
rnacentral:rRNA from 1 species